rnacentral:lncRNA from 1 species
GACACAAAAUUGUUGAACGACGCAUCGAAAAAUGUCUGUAAUCCUAGCGACCAGGUCCCUCGGCCCCCAACAGUGACGCCGAUCCCAACUUCAACCCUCGCAUGUCCGUUCGACUUGCUCCCUUCCUGCCUCCUCAUAAAAGCCCCCUUCACCGCUCCCCGCCUCGAUCCGCGACUCCUCGUUUGCCAUCGGAAACCCCAAAAACUCACCCUUGGACAUCGACGACCUCGGCGGGCUCCAAAAGAAAUUGUUGAAUGCGUGCAACCCUAAACCCUACCCCCAAAAGCUGUGGCUCCUCUAGUACACCCCACCCAACGCGUCAUCUCGAGGCGCCUCUGCAUCGUGCAUCGCCGCGGGUAAGAACAAGGUCCACCGCCGAGCAGCAUGUU